rnacentral:rRNA from 1 species
GACGAACGCUGGCGGCGUGCCUAAUACAUGCAAGUAGAACGCUGAAGGAGGAGCUUGCUCUUCUGGAUGAGUUGCGAACGGGUGAGUAACGCGUAGGUAACCUGCCUGGUAGCGGGGGAUAACUAUUGGAAACGAUAGCUAAUACCGCAUAAUAGUAGAUGUUGCAUGACAUUUGCUUAAAAGGUGCAAUUGCAUCACUACCAGAUGGACCUGCGUUGUAUUAGCUAGUUGGUGGGGUAACGGCUCACCAAGGCGACGAUACAUAGCCGACCUGAGAGGGUGAUCGGCCACACUGGGACUGAGACACGGCCCAG